UGCCUACGGGUGGCAGCAGUGAGGAAUUUUGCGCAAUGGCCGCAAGGCUGACGCAGCAACGCCGCGUGGGUGAAGAAGGCCUUCGGGUCGUAAAGCCCUGUCAGGUGGGAAGAACGACACGGGGAGGAAUAUGCUCUGUGAGUGACGGUACCACCAGAGGAAGCACCGGCUAACUCCGUGCCAGCAGCCGCGGUAAUACGGAGGGUGCGAGCGUUAUUCGGAAUUACUGGGCGUAAAGCGCGUGUAGGCGGCCAACCAAGUCUGGUGUGAAAGCCGUGGGCUUAAGCUGGGAAGUGCAUUGGAAACUGGCUGGCUUGAGUACUGGAGAGGAAGGGGGAAUUCCCGGUGUAGAGGUGAAAUUCGUAGAGAUCGGGAGGAAUACCAGUGGCGAAGGCGCCCUUCUGGACGGUUACUGACGCUGAGACGCGAAAGCGUGGGGAGCAAACAGGAUUAGAUACCCUAGUAGUCA
rnacentral:rRNA from 1 species